UCUAUCUAACACAAGCAGAGCACAGAAUACAGAAGAAGCUCAAGCUAUAUUAUUGUUAACUCUACUCCUAUAUCUCCUAUCCUGCAGUAGCUCUCCAUAUAUGGGAAAGGCUGAUCCAGAUGAUUCUAUUUCAUUGUCACAUGCAAUGUGCUUUGUUGGAUUGACUGUGAUUUCCAUGAUUAAUGAGGUAAUUUUUCUCUUUGUAUUUGUAGUGGACAUUUUGUAUCAUAGAGAAGGUACCAUUUUAUAAUCCCAAUGGAUGAUGGGUGGGCAAUCAUAAACCCUUAAAUGAAGAAGCUCUUGAUGAUCAUGG
rnacentral:lncRNA from 1 species